ACUGCUAGCAAAUAGGACAGAAGCCAAGGAAGCUGAACAUUUGAGAUACAUGAAAUUCCGAUAAUAAGGGACAAAAUGGUUAAGCUCUUGAUUUGAGACUAAGGAUGGAGAUGGGGCCAUUUAAAAUGCCCAGAUUCAAGAGGCAAGCAGAAAGGAGAGUUGAGGAAGGGUCUUGAGCAGGGACUGCUGGAAAAGCAGCUGGUGGAACUUGGAGAGCUGUGGCUUCCUGUGGUUGUUGAAGGUGACGGUCACCUUAAUCCUGGCUGGGCAGUGCUG
rnacentral:lncRNA from 1 species